UACGUAGGGGGCAAGCGUUGUCCGGAUUUACUGGGCGUAAAGGGCGCGUAGGCGGCCGCCUAAGUCAGACGUGAAAUCCCUCGGCUCAACCGGGGAACUGCGUCUGAUACUGGGUGGCUUGAAUCCGGGAGAGGGAUGCGGAAUUCCAGGUGUAGCGGUGAAAUGCGUAGAUAUCUGGAGGAACACCGGUGGCGAAGGCGGCAUCCUGGACCGGCAUUGACGCUGAGGCGCGAAAGCCAGGGGAGCAAACGGG
rnacentral:rRNA from 1 species